rnacentral:rRNA from 1 species
UACAGAGGUCCCGAGCGUUGUUCGGAUUCACUGGGCGUAAAGGGUGCGUAGGUGGGUCUGUAAGUCCGUGGUGAAAUCUCCGAGCUCAACCCGGAAACUGCCAUUGAUACUAUCUGUCUUGAAUAUCGUGGAGGUAAGCGGAAUAUGUCAUGUAGCGGUGAAAUGCUUAGAUAUGACAUAGAACACCAAUUGCGAAGGCAGCUCGCUGGAACGUAACUGACGCUGAGACGCGAAAGCGUGGGGAGCAAACAGG